UUUACCCAGUCUAGAACGCUGGGGGAAUAAGGAGAGGGCAAGUCUGGUGUCAGCCGCCGCGGUAAUACCAGCUCUCCCAGUGGUGUGGAUGUUUAUUGGGCCUAAAGCAUCCGUAUCUGGCUAAAUUAGUCCCCUGUUAAAUCCACCGAAUUAAUCGUUGGAUCGCGGGGGAUACUGCUUGGCUAUGGGACGAGAGAGGCACACGGUAUUUUCGGGGUAGGGGUGAAAUCCUAUAAUCCCGGGAAGACAACCAGUGGCAAAGGCUGUCUGCUAGAACGCGCCCGACGGUAAGGGAUGAAAGCUGGGGGAGCGAACCGGAUUAGAUACCCGGGUAGUCCCAGCUGUAAACUAUGCAGGCUAUGUGUUUGGACGGCCACUUGCCGUUCUAGAGCCGCAGGGAAGCUGUUAGGCCUGCCGCCUGGGGAUUACGAUCGCAAGAUUGAAACUUAAAGGACUUGCCGGGUGAGCACAAA
rnacentral:rRNA from 1 species